rnacentral:snRNA from 1 species
AGCCACGCAGUGGGCACAGAGCGAGCUAUCCUUUCGCCUUUUACUAAAGAAUACCGUGUGUGCGCUGCAUUUAGUGGCAUACGCCAACUUUUGGAGGGGUUUCUCUUCUUUAGAGUAC